rnacentral:lncRNA from 1 species
UUUGACAAUCUAAUUUUUUAAUUUAUUUGAUUUAUAUUAGUCAACGAUAUUUUUGACUUCAAAAUUCGACGGUCUUAUUUAUAUUUACAGAUUUAGUCAGUAUAUUUUAUAUAUAUUAAAAUAAGUUAUCGACUUAAAUUUUAAAAUUAAAAUAUUAUUAAUUUAUUCAAAUCAAAUAAAUUAAGAGAGUAAAUAGUAAAUCAAAAUUUUGCAAGUUUAGGUAUAU